rnacentral:rRNA from 1 species
AACGAACGCUGGCGGCAGGCCUAACACAUGCAAGUCGAACGGGACCUUCGGGUCUAGUGGCGGACGGGUGAGUAACGCGUGGGAACGUGCCCUUUGGUUCGGAAUAGCCCCGGGAAACUGGGAGUAAUACCGGAUAAGCCCUACGGGGGAAAGAGUUAUCGCCAAAGGAUCGGCCCGCGUUGGAUUAGGUGGUUGGGGAGGUAAUGGCUCACCAAGCCGACGAUCCAUAGCUGGUUUGAGAGGAUGAUCAGCCACACUGGGACUGAGACACGGCCCAGACUCCUACGGGAGGCAGCAGUGGGGAAUCUUAGACAAUGGGGGAAACCCUGAUCUAGCCAUGCCGCGUGAUCGAUGAAGGCCUUAGGGUUGUAAAGAUCUUUCAGUGGGGAAGAUAAUGACUGUACCCACAGAAGAAGCCCCGGCUAACUCCGUGCCAGCCGCCGCAGUAACAC